GAUGCAGAAAUGGGUAUGAAAAUCGAUGUGAGUCAUGGGUGAGCAAGCGAGUGGAUAAAUUCAUGGACAAGCAAGGGAAUUCUCGCGGACUCCUCACAGCCAACGUGUGGCAGGAAUUAUUAUUAUCCCAACAUUCUCCAGAGGAGGAAACCCAGGCUCAGAGUGGCUGCUGCUGCACUGGCCUCCUCCCUGGAUUCCUCGCCGCAGAUCUGUCCUACACAGGGUUCCAGAGGAGUCAUCCUAACACCAUCUGACCCUGUCCCUCUCAUGCUCAAAACAUAUUUGUAGCUUUCAUCACCCUCAUGACGUGGAUACUGCUGAGUUCUCCAGACACUUCACUCCAGAGUGCAGCUAUUGUGAGAAACGACUCUUUGUUCCCCAAAUAAGCCUCAGAAUCUGGAUAUGGGGCCUCAACACAUGCUCCAACUUGGACUAGAAUGUCCUUCUCUCUUGUCUCAGUUAACUCUGUCCCUCAGGUCUCAGUGCAGAAGUCACCUCCACCACGAAGCCUCCUCUGUCUGACCCUCUGUUUUAAACUUUUUCUUACUGUAAA